rnacentral:lncRNA from 10 species
AGCAGUAAUCUUCCAUACAUAAGUAUAUUCCCUGCCCAAUAAUUCAAAGAAAAAAAAUCCAAAAUGAUUAGUAAAGAAAAAUAUAAGAAUUAACAGACCCUUUACAUUUGUUUUAAAAAGUGUUUAAAGUUUGUAAUUCCUAGUAGUAAAACAUUAUCUGAAUGAAUACCCUAAUGGCAAACCACUGUAAAAUGCUUCAGCUGUAUUUGGGGGAGAGGGGUAGGGAUUAUCUUAAAGCACCCCAGCUGGUUUGUAUUAUUGUGACAUCCAUAAGGUGAUCUAGGUUGCUUUUCCUUCAGCAAGGGCUUUAUUUAUCAGAAGGGCAUUACACUUGACCUCCAAAUUUGGCUGACAAUUUACUGAUGAGAUUCAUAACCUUUGGGUUGCUCUGGUAUUUUGACACAUUUGCUGGGUUCUGAGCCACAUCCUGGAAGGCCACCAUAACUUCUGGAUCCUGCAUGGCUGCAAGAACCUCUGGAUCACUAAGAAUUUCAUUGAGCAUUCCAGCCAUUCCAGACAUGCCCCCUCCCAUUCCAGGCAUUCCUCUUAAGGCAUUAUCAGAAAAUAAAAUAUAUUUUCAUUUUCAAUAAAAGAAUAUGAACACCAAAAGUAAUUACCCACCCACCCUCAAACAAAAAUAAUCAUCAUUACAAAGGGACUAAUGCUUCCUACCCUUGGACAAAGUGAAGGAUCACAUUCAGACCAGUGUGCAUGUAGCUGACUCUUGAGAAAGAGAUGACUAUCUCCAGGGUUCACGCUUCACCCAAUUCUUGCAGAGCCAUGUGAAGUUAGAGCUAAUUUCAGUAAUCACCCCAUCUUAAUAAUAAGAUGUCCUACAAUCUUUGGCAGUGACUCAGAGAAGCAGCCAAAAAAAUAAUAAUAAUAGUAAUAAAAAUAAAAAGAGAAAGAAAAAAAGCAGAAAGCUUAUAUACUAGCACCACUGACUGCCCACCCCAAUCAGCUCUACCUUCAAGAAAGUAAAAAAAGGUUAGAUAGCCCCCUCCAUAAUACUGAAGAAAAUGUAACAGAAUUUAAUUGAGUGAAAAAUGGUUCUUGAAUUGGGCAAUCCCCAAAACAGAAUAGGUUCAGAGAUGCUUCCAGGCUACCGCGUGGUCGAGGAUGAUUUAUGGGCAGAAAAAAGAGAGUGACAUAUGGAAAACAGAAGUAAGGAACAGAAACAGCUGGAUGGGUUCUAGCUUGGCGUUUGCCUUCUUUGAACAUGGUUUGAAGAGUUGGCUGUCUGUGAUUGGCUGAAACCCAGAGAUUGGUACUAGAGUUGGUUAUAGCCUGUUUACACAUCCAGUUAGGUGAUAGUUCACUAUGUAUGAAGAAACAUUUAAACCAAACUGAAUUUAACAUGGAUAAGACAAGGUCUUUCGUUAAAGGGCCAUGAGAGUGAAGGCAACUUUCACCUCCAGAGCCCCUGCCUUCUGUGCCUGGAUGCCCAGAGGGUCAUCAGCCUGUGUCAUCACGUGGAAUGUCAUCCAUCCUCCUCUGAGAGCCUCAGCAGGGUAAAGAUAUGGCAAAACCCAGACUGUU